UACAGAGGUCUCAAGCGUUGUUCGGAUUCAUUGGGCGUAAAGGGUGCGUAGGCGGCGCGGUAAGUCGGGUGUGAAAUCUCGGGGCUUAACUCCGAAACUGCAUUCGAUACUGCCGUGCUUGAGGACUGGAGAGGAGACUGGAAUUUACGGUGUAGCGGUGAAAUGCGUAGAUAUCGGAAGGAAGACCAGUGGCGAAGGCGGGUCUCUGGACAGUUCCUGACGCUGAGGCACGAAGGUCAGGGGAGCAAACGGG
rnacentral:rRNA from 1 species